rnacentral:rRNA from 1 species
GACGAACGCUGGCGGCGUGCCUAAUACAUGCAAGUCGAGCGAACAGAUGAGGAGCUUGCUCCUCUGACGUUAGCGGCGGACGUGUGAGUAACACGUGUAUAACCUACCUAUAAGACUGGGAUAACUUCGAGAAACCGGCGCUAAUACCGGAUAAUAUAUUGCACCGCAUGGGUCAAUAGUGAAAGACGGUUUUGCUGUCACUUAUAGAUGGAUCCGCGCCGCAUUAGCUAGUUGGUAAGGUAACGGCUUACCAGGGCGACGAUGCGUAGCCGACGUGAGAGGGGGAUCGCGCACGGAGGAGGUGAGACGCGGCACAGGGUCUGAGAGAAGGCAAAAGUAGCUACGGGACGGAAAAGGGGGGAAGCCUGCAGGAGCGGCGGAGGGUGGGUGAAGAAGGGCUGCGGGUCGGAAAACGCUGUUAGGGGGGAAGAACGAAUGUGUAAGUAACUAAGCGUGAGUGAACGGUAUGGAAAAAGAAGGACACGCUUACCAACUG